GACGAACGCUGGCGGCGUGCUUAACACAUGCAAGUCGAACGGAAAGGCCCUGCUUUUGUGGGGUGCUCGAGUGGCGAACGGGUGAGUAACACGUGAGUAACCUGCCCUUGACUUUGGGAUAACUUCAGGAAACUGGGGCUAAUACCGGAUAGGAGCUCCUGCUGCAUGGUGGGGGUUGGAAAGUUUCGGCGGUUGGGGAUGGACUCGCGGCUUAUCAGCUUGUUGGUGGGGUAGUGGCUUACCAAGGCUUUGACGGGUAGCCGGCCUGAGAGGGUGACCGGCCACAUGGGAACUGGGAAACGGCCCAGACUCCUAGGGGAGGGAGAGUGGGGGAUAAUGGAACAAGGGCCGGAGGCCGAUGGCGGCAACGCGGGUGCGGGGAGAAGGGCCUCGGGGUGGUAAACCGCUUUGGCUGGUGACGAAGCGGAGGGAAGGGAAAGGGGAAAGGAAGCACGGCUAACUAACUG
rnacentral:rRNA from 1 species